rnacentral:misc_RNA from 1 species
AACACUGUUAACCUGCGGUACCUGCGGAAGGAUCAUUAUUGAAUAAACUUGGUUGGGUUGUUGCUGGCUCCUUGGAGCAUGUGCACGCCUAGCACCAAUUUUUACCACCUGUGCACCAUUUGUGGACCUGGAUACCUCUCGAGGAAACUCGGUUGGAGGACUGCUGUGUGAAAGCCAGCUUUCCUUACAUUUCCGGUUCAUCUUUUCACAUACCCCAUACGAAUGUAUCAGACUGUUGUU